rnacentral:misc_RNA from 1 species
AACGCACAUUGCGCCCCUUGGUAUUCCGAGGGGCAUGCCUGUUCGAGCGUCAUUAGAACCCUCAAGCUCUGCUUGGUGUUGGGUGUCACCUCUCGAGGUGCAUCUUAAAAUCAGUGGCGGUACUGCCUAGCUCUAAGCGUAGUAAAUUUCCUCGCUACAGAUGUCUUGGUGAGUGCUAGCCAUCAACUUCAAUUUUUUAAGGUUGACCUCGGAUCAGGUAGGGAUACCCGCUGAACUUAA